rnacentral:rRNA from 1 species
CCUACGGGCGGCUGCAGUGAGGAAUAUUGGUCAAUGGACGAGAGUCUGAACCAGCCAAGUAGCGUGAAGGAUGACUGCCCUAUGGGUUGUAAACUUCUUUUAUAUGGGAAUAAAAUGUUCCACGUGUGGGAUUUUGUAUGUACCAUAUGAAUAAGGAUCGGCUAACCUCGUUCCAUCAGCCGCGGUAAUACGGAGGGUCCGAGCGUUAUCCGGAUUUAUUGGGUUUAAAGGGAGCGUAGGUGGAUUGUUAAGUCAGUUGUGAAAGUUUGCGGCUCAACCGUAAAAUUGCAGUUGAAACUGGCAGUCUUGAGUACAGUAGAGGUGGGCGGAAUUCGUGGUGUAGCGGUGAAAUGCUUAGAUAUCACGAAGAACUCCGAUUGCGAAGGCAGCUCACUGGACUGCAACUGACACUGAGGCUCGAAAGUGUGGGUAUCAAACAGGAUUAGAUACCCCAGUAGUC